AAAACGACUCUCGGCAACGGAUAUCUCGGCUCUCGCAUCGAUGAAGGACGUAGCGAAAUGCGAUACUUGGUGUGAAUUGCAGAAUCCCGUGAACCAUCGAGUCUUUGAACGCAAGUUGCGCCCGAAGCCGUCAGGCCGAGGGCACGUCUGCCUGGGCGUCACGC
rnacentral:rRNA from 1 species